AAAGGAGCAAUUCGCUUAAAGAGGAGCCUGCGGCAGAUUAGCUAGUUGGUAAGGUAAUGGCUUACCAAGGCGACGAUCUGUAACCGGCCUGAGAGGGCGGUCGGUCGACACUGACACUGAAUAACGGGUCAGACUCCUACGGGAGGCAGCAGUCGGGAAUUUUGGGCAAUGGGCGAAAGCCUGACCCAGCAACGCCGCGUGAAGGAUGAAGUUUUUCGGAAUGUAAACUUCGUAAGAAUAGGAAGACUACAUGACGGUACUAUUAGUAAGGUCCGGCUAACUACGUGCCAG
rnacentral:rRNA from 1 species